rnacentral:tRNA from 1 species
UCCCUGGAGGACUAGCGGUUAGGCCUCAGUGCUCUCACCGCCACAGCCCGGGCUCGAUUCCCGGCCUGGGGA